UUUCGGAUCGUAAAGCUCUGUUGUCAGGGAAGAACAAGUACCAAAGUAACUGUUGGUACCUUGACGGUACCUGACCAGAAAGCCACGGCUAACUACGUGCCAGCAGCCGCGGUAAUACGUAGGUGGCAAGCGUUGUCCGGAAUUAUUGGGCGUAAAGCGCGCGCAGGCGGCUUCUUAAGUCUGAUGUGAAAGCCCACGGCUCAACCGUGGAGGGUCAUUGGAAACUGGGAGGCUUGAGUGCAGAAGAGGAGAGCGGAAUUCCACGUGUAGCGGUGAAAUGCGUAGAGAUGUGGAGGAACACCAGUGGCGAAGGCGGCUCUCUGGUCUGUAACUGACGCUGAGGCGCGAAAGCGUGGGGAGCGAACAGGAUUAGAUACCCUGGUAGUCCACGCCGUAAACGAUGAGUGCUAAGUGUUGGAGGGUUUCCGCCCUUCAGUGCUGCAGCUAACGCAUUAAGCACUCCGCCUGGGGAGUACGGCCGCAAGGCUGAAACUCAAAGGAAUUGACGGGGGCCCGCACAAGCGGUGGAGCAUGUGGUUUAAUUCGAAGCAACGCGAAGAACCUUACCAGGUCUUGACAUCCCUCUGACCGGUCUGGAGACAGAUCUUUCCCUUCGGGGACAGCGGUGACAGGUGGUGCAUGGUUGUCGUCAGCUCGUGUCGUGAGAUGUUGGGNUAAGUCCCGCAACGAGCGCAACCCCUGA
rnacentral:rRNA from 1 species